rnacentral:lncRNA from 1 species
CCGUUGUCCCUGGUUGAGUGAUUCCCAAGUUCUAUCCCCGGAGCGACCCCGAGUGAAUCUGUUGCCCCUGGUUGAGUGAUUCAUAGGUCUCUAUCCCCCGUCUCCUUGAGAGUCCCUUGGUUCUCUACUGCGUCAAGUGGUAUCAGAGUAGGUUUUCCACUGUUCGUCGUCCCGUAGAGACAAUCGUCUUUUUGAUUGGUACUGUAGUAGCCUUUUUGUUGGGUAUUGGAGGUGCUCAACCUAUAGGAACUGUUCAUGAUAUUUCAAAAAGGGCGGGGGUUUUUACGAAACUUCACCCUAAUCAACAAAUAAAAAUCAAUUAAUGAAAUAAAAAAAAUGUGGAUGAUUUGUAUAUAGCCUUGUAUAACCUUUUUGUUUCUUUUCUAUUACCUCUUUUGUUCUAUUUAUAUCAUACUAAAUUUAUUAGUGUUACUAUAGAAGAGUGUCUUUUAUAACGACAAAAAAGAUCAUAGGAGAGAUUUUUCAUCUAUUUGAAUAUUGUUGAUGCACAAAAUCAGUGGGGACUUUGGUACAACAGAAAAUGUUAAGUUUGUGACCUUCACCAGAUUGCUCCGGUCACUAGUGUGGAUAAGUAUGUAAAUGGAUAGAGUCAGGGAAGCAAACACAAGAUGUACGUGGUUCACCCAGAUUGGCUAUGUCCACGGAGUAGAUGAGUUCUCAUUAAUUGUGAAGGGUUUACACAAGUACAUAGGUUCAAGCUCUCCUUUAGUGAGUACAAGUGAAUGAUUUAGUACAAAUAACAUUAGGAAAUAUUGAGGGAGAAUGAUCUCCUUUUAUAUAAGAAAGUUUCUAGCUUUGUUUUGACAUUGACACAUGUCGUGUUAUGAUUGGCUUUUGAUGUUGACACGUGUCGCACUAUGAUUGGCUUCUGAUGUCGACACAUGUCACGUUGUGAUUGGCCUCAUGGUUGGAGGGAAACUCUUUUGGGUCCUUGACGGUAUAACGUUGACCGGUGCUCAGUAGUUUCGGGAUUGGUCAAG